UGACGCUGGCGGCAGGCCUAACACAUGCAAGUCGAGCGGCACGACUURACUGAACCUUCGGGGAACGUUAAGGGCGGCGAGCGGCGGACGGGUGAGUAAUGCCUGGGAAUAUGCCCUGAUGUGGGGGAUAACUAUUGGAAACGAUAGCUAAUACCGCAUAAUCUCUUCGGAGCAAAGAGGGGGACCUUCGGGCCUCUCGCGUCAGGAUUAGCCCAGGUGGGAUUAGCUUGUUGGUGAGGUAAUGGCUCACCAAGGCAACGAUCCCUAGCUGGUCUGAGAGGAUGAUCAGCCACACUGGAACUGAGACACGGUCCAGACUCCUACGGGAGGCAGCAGUGGGGAAUAUUGCACAAUGGGGGAAACCCUGAUGCAGCCAUGCCGCGUGUAUGAAGAAGGCCUUCGGGUUGUAAAGUACUUUSAGUAGGGAGGAAGGCAGUGUCGUUAAUAGCGGCAUUGUUUGACGUUACCUACAGAAGAAGCACCGGCUAACUCCGUGCCAGCAGCCGCGGUAAUACGGAG
rnacentral:rRNA from 1 species